UACGAAGGGGGCUAGCGUUGCUCGGAAUCACUGGGCGUAAAGGGUGCGUAGGCGGGUCUUUAAGUCAGGGGUGAAAUCCUGGAGCUCAACUCCAGAACUGCCUUCGAUACUGGAAAGCUCGAGUCCGGGAGAGGUGAGUGGAACUGCGAGUGUAGAGGUGAAAUUCGUAGAUAUUCGCAAGAACACCAGUGGCGAAGGCGGCUCACUGGCCCGGUACUGACGCUGAGGUGCGAAAGCGUGGGGAGCAAACGGG
rnacentral:rRNA from 1 species